rnacentral:rRNA from 1 species
GCCAGACUCCUACGGGAGGCAGCAGUGGGGGAUAUUGCACAAUGGGGGGAACCCUGAUGCAGCGACGCCGCGUGGGUGAAGGAGCGUUUCGGCGCGUAAAGCCCUAUCGGCAGGGAAGAAGGAGGACGGUACCUGACUAAGAAGCCCCGGCUAACUACGUGCCAGCAGCCGCGGUAAUACGUAGGGGGCAAGCGUUAUCCGGAUUUACUGGGUGUAAAGGGGGCGCAGACGGCAGCGCAAGCCAGGAGUGAAAGCCCGGGGACCAACCCCGGGACUGCUCUUGGAACUGCGCGGCUGGAGUGCAGGAGGGGCAGGCGGAAUUCCUGGUGUAGCGGUGAAAUGCGUAGAUAUCAGGAGGAACACCGGUGGCGAAGGCGGCCUGCUGGACUGCGACUGACGUUGAGGCCCGAAAGCGUGGGGAGCAAACAGGAUUAGAUACCCCAGUAUUC